rfam:Oryza barthii chromosome 8, whole genome shotgun sequence.
AUCCCAUGAUGAGGACAGGCGGCCACGUAUUCUUGAAGACGUUCCCAUGCUUCAGGAAUGGACUAAUCUCUUGUCUGCUGGAAACUGGAAAUCCGUCCACGAAGGGC